rnacentral:rRNA from 1 species
CAGUUAAAGAAUUCGCCCUUCCUACGGGAGGCAGCAGUGGGAAUAUUGCGCAAUGGGCGGAAGCCUGACGCAGCGACGCCGCGUGGGGGAUGACGGCCUUCGGGUUGUAAACCUCUUUCGACCUUGACGAAGCCUUUCGGGGUGACGGUAGGGGUAGAAGAAGCACCGGCCAACUACGUGCCAGCAGCCGCGGUAAUACGUAGGGUGCGAGCGUUGUCCGGAAUUAUUGGGCGUAAAGAGCUCGUAGGCGGUCUGUCGCGUCGGUCGUGAAAACUUGGGGCUUAACCCUGAGCUUGCGGUCGAUACGGGCAUGACUGGAGUUCGGCAGGGGAGACUGGAAUUCCUGGUGUAGCGGUGAAAUGCGCAGAUUUCAGGAGGAACACCGGUGGCGAAGGCGGGUCUCUGGGCCGAUACUGACGCUGAGGAGCGAAAGCGUGGGGAGCGAACAGGAUUAGAUACCCUGGUAGUCCACGCCGUAAACGGUGGGCGCUAGGUGUGGGGGCCAUUCCACGGUCUCUGUGCCGCAGCUAACGCAUUAAGCGCCCCGCCUGGGGAGUACGGCCGCAAGGCUAACUAGGGA